rnacentral:rRNA from 1 species
CUUGGUCAUUUAGAGGAAGUAAAAGUCGUAACAAGGUUUCCGUAGGUGAACCCGCGGAAGGAUCAUUCAUAAUAAGUGUUUUAUGGCACUUUUUAAAUCCAUAUCCACCUUGUGUGCAAUGUCAGUCGAUCUUCUUCAUGGAGAUCGACCAAACAUCAACCUUUAUCUUUUAACUCUUUGUCUGAAAAAUAUUAUGAAUAAACAAUUCAAAAUACAACUUUCAACAACGGAUCUCUUGGCUCUCGCAUCGAUGAAGAACGCAGCGAAAUGCGAUACGUAAUGUGAAUUGCAGAAUUCAGUGAAUCAUCGAAUCUUUGAACGCAUAUUGCGCUCUUUGGUAUUCCGAAGAGCAUGCUUGUUUGAGUAUCAGUAAACACCUCAAAGCUUUUGGAUUUUUUAAUCGAAAAGCUUUGGACUUGAGCAAUCCCAACACCAAUCUUUUUGAGAUCGGUGGCGGGUUGCUUGAAAUGCAGGUGCAGCUGGACAUUCUCCUGAGCUAAAAGCAUAUUCAUUUAGUCCCGUCAAACGGAUUAUUACUUUUGCUGCAGCUAACAUAAAGGGAGUUUGACCGUAUUGGCUGACUGAUGCAGGAUUUCACAAGGGUCGGCAACGAUUCUUGUUAAACUCGAUCUCAAAUCAAGUAAGACUACCCGCUGAACUUAAGCAUAUCAAUAAGCGGAGGA